rnacentral:tRNA from 1 species
GGGGUUGUGGCUCAACGAUAGAGCACUCACCUCGCAUGUGUGAGACCCAGGUUCGAUCCUCAGCACCA